rnacentral:rRNA from 1 species
GAGGUACCUUCAGACCCGGUGGGUAUUAACCACCGAGCGUUAUUCCUCCUGACAGACCUUUACAACCACAAGGGCCUUCAUCAGUCACGCGGCGUCGCUCGGUCAGGCUUUCGCCCAUUGCCGAAGCUUCUCG